rnacentral:lncRNA from 10 species
ACAAGCUAAGAGAUACAAAGGGAAAAGUGUGACUGCUCUGACAGCAAAAACAAGCAAGUAUCUCCAGUGGGUAUUAAUCCUUCUGCUUCAAAGUAACUAAAACAAAGAAAGCUGAGCCAGCUUCACUGGAAACAACACCUGUCCAUCAGACAAGGAUGAGCUAAU